rnacentral:rRNA from 1 species
CUACGGGUCGCUGCAGUGAGGAAUAUUGCACAAUGGAGGAAACUCUGAUGCAGCAACGCCGCGUGGAGGAUGACGCAUUUCGGUGUGUAAACUCCUUUUAUAUGUCAAGAAAAUGACGGUAGCAUAUGAAUAAGCACCGGCUAACUCCGUGCCAGCAGCCGCGGUAAUACGGAGGGUGCAAGCGUUACUCGGAAUCACUGGGCGUAAAGGACGCGUAGGCGGGUUGGAAAGUCAGGUGUGAAAUCCUACAGCUUAACUGUAGAACUGCACUUGAAACUUCUAAUCUAGAGUAUGGGAGGGGGAGAUGGAAUUAGUGGUGUAGGGGUAAAAUCCGUAGAUAUCACUAGGAAUACCUAAAGCGAAGGCGAUCUCCUGGAGCAUUACUGACGCUAAGGCGUGAAAGUGUGGGGAGCAAACAGGAUUAGAUACCCCAGUAGUC